CGUGGGAACGUACCUUGGAGUGCGGAAUAAUUCUUGGAAACGAGGACUAAUACCGCAUACGCCCUUCGGGGGAAAGAUUGAUCGCUCCAAGAUCGGCCCGCGUCCGAUUAGCUAGUUGGUGAGGUAACGGCCCACCAAGGCGACGAUCGGUAGCUGGUCUGAGAGGAUGAUCAGCCACACUGGGACUGAGACACGGCCCAGACUCCUACGGGAGGCAGCAGUGGGGAAUAUUGCGCAAUGGGGGAAACCCUGACGCAGCCAUGCCGCGUGAGUGAAGAAGGCCUUCGGGUUGUAAAGCUCUUUCGGGUGUGAAGAAGAUGACGGUAACACCAGAAGAAGCCCCGGCUAACUUCGUGCCAGCAGCCGCGGUAAUACGAAGGGGGCAAGCGUUGUUCGGAAUCACUGGGCGUAAAGAGCGCGUAGGCGGUCAGAUCAGUCAGAGGUGAAAGCCCAGGGCUCAACCUUGGAACUGCCUUUGAUACUGUCUGACUAGAAUCCGUGAGAGGGUGGUGGAAUUCCCAGUGUAGAGGUGAAAUUCGUAGAUAUUGGGAGGAACACCAGUGGCGAAGGCGGCCACCUGGCGCGGUAUUGACGCUGAGGCGCGAAAGCGUGGGGGAGCAAACAGGAUUAGAUACCCUGGUAGUCCACG
rnacentral:rRNA from 1 species